rnacentral:rRNA from 1 species
GAUGAACGCUGGCGGCGUGCCUAAUACAUGCAAGUCGAGCGAACAGACGAGGAGCUUGCUCCUCUGACGUUAGCGGCGGACGGGUGAGUAACACGUGGAUAACCUACCUAUAAGACUGGGAUCACUUCGGGAAACCGGCGCUAAUCCCGGAUAAUAUAUUGCACCGUAUGGUUCAAUAGUGAAAGACGGCUUUGCUGUCACUUAUCGCUGGAUCCGCGCCGCAUUAGCUAGUUGGUACGGUAACGGCUUACCAAGGCGACGAUGCGUAGCCGACCUGAGAGAGGGGUCGGCCGCCUGGGAGCGGGAACGGGGUCCAGGCGCCUGAGGUAGGGAGCAGUAGCGAACCGGCGGCAGUGGGCGAGAGCAUGACGGAGCAACGGCGAGUGAGUGAUGGAGGCCUUGCGUGCGUGAUACUCGGUUAUGAGGUAUAAACAGAUGUGGAAGGAACUAAGGACGGCGUGACGGUAACUGGUCAAGAAGCAACGGCUAACUACGUG